rnacentral:lncRNA from 1 species
GCGUGAGUCACCGCGCCUGGCCCCAGUACAUUUACUUCCUUCUUUCCAUCAGUAGAUCCAAAAACAGGACUAGGACCCCAAACUGUGGUACAAAAUAAACAAUAAUAACCAAUCUGCUUCAAGAAAGAUUUCAUCUUCCUCUCUCUCUGGAAGAGUUCUUACAUUUUAAUAAUUUAUACUUUGACCCAAGAAGGGAUAAUUUUUCUUCCCAUCUUGUGACCCAAAUACAUAAGCUCUGGUAAUCAAACCUAUACCAAGGUACCCUCAUAGACAUACUCACUCUUUGGUUCCACUCAGAUAUUUCUGCUCUUCCUUUUGAUGAGAAGCCACAUCUCAUCUCAUAUAGGAAAUAUCAGCUCUGUAGUUAUGGCAAGUAACCCAUUAAAUGGGUUAUUCUGAAAACUUUGGAAAGAGGUGUGGUCAACAGGAAACUUUGGAAAGAGGUGUGGUCACCAACUAAUGCAUGUAAAAAGUUCUUGAUUACAAAAGCUAUUUAAAAUUGGCCUCUUUAGUCAAUGCCACUGGCUAUUAUCUAUUGUAUGCAUAAACCCAGUUUGGCAGAGAAUCAAGUAUUUUUUAUUGAGUGUUUCUGAGAAUCACAUCCUCCUUGAAUUCUCUUAGGCAUUUGACACUGUUGAUUGCUUUCUUAAUCGUUCUCUUUUUUUAUUCAAAGGUUUUUUGUUUUUUAAAUAACUAUCCUAAAUCCCUGUUUCUGAAACUCUCUUCUCCCUCGAUGCAAUGCCAGAGUCCCAAACUGUUUCCUCCCAAUCCAUCACUAUGGCCAUCCCUCGGUGAUCAGUUCUUAGCCCUCUGCUUCUCACACUCGAAGGUUUAUUCUUUGUCAUGAUCUUAACUAUCACAUCUAAGCAGCAGAUUCAAAUAUUGAGUUCUGGUUCCAUGAUCUAUGGCCAUACCACCAUGAACGUGCCCGAUCUCAUCUGAUUUCCGAAGCUAAGCAGGGUCGGGCCUGAUUAGUACUUGAAUGGGAGCUCUUAUUCCACGUCCAGCUAUGCUAAAGUUGAAAACCAUUGAAAGGAAGUUCCUGCCCACAGGAAUUGUAAGUGAUGUUUCGUCAUCCAUUACUCCAUUGACUCUUUGCAACAGCUUUGUCAAAUGGGUAUUCUUAUCCCAAUUUAUCAACGAGGAAAUUGAAGUUCAGAGAGAUCAAGUAACUUGUCGAGAUCAUGCAGCUAGUGAGUAUCAGAUCAAGGAUUCAAAGUCAAGUCCAGUUAUCUGAUGAAAAUUGUUUGUUCUCUCUACUACUCCUUAUCACUUCCUUUACCAAAAGCUGGCUUUCAUCACAUCAAUGAAGGAGAGCAGACUCCUGAGUGAAGCAUUUCACUUAACCAGCUGGGGAUUGUUGGAUGAAGGAAUAGAAAACGUAAGCAAAGUGAAAGCUCAGAAUGUGUCACCUUCCCCUCCUCCCUACAUCCAGGUUAGCCUUACAGGCAGGCCAAGUAGUGAGUAGCCCACAGAGUGGAAUGUGAAAGAUGCUGGUUAUGUCUACUUCCCCUCAAAACAUCUUUCCAAUGCCCUCCCACCACCAUUGUUCCUAAAGUCCCCUUGGCCUUUAAUUCCUUGGGGUUCCUGUGGCCUCUCAAAGUGGAAAUAUACCCAGAAGAAGAAACAAAAAACUGAAUUACUAACGUAUAAUCAUUCAGAAAAUAUUUAUUAAGCACCAGAAUCUGAAGAGGUACUUAAAGCUUCACCAGAAUCUGAAGAGGUACUUAAAGCUGAGAUAAUUGUCUUCUUUUUACAGAUGAUGAAAUUGUGGUUCAGAGAGUCUGAGUGACUCAUCCAAGAUGACACACCUGAGCCCCAUUUUCUGAAUCAGAGCUCAGACUUGGGUCUUCUGAUUUUCUGUUCUAUGCUCUUUCCUUUCUAUCGCAGUAACUCAAGGGGUUUAUAGGUGGGAACUCAAGACAAACAUACAUGAAUAGUUAAAUAACAAUUCAAGAUAACAGUAGAAGUAAUGUUAAAAGACAAUAAAAGUGCCCAAUGACUGAUAGAGACAAUAAUUACUCUAGGAGUGACCUGGAAGGUCACUGUGGGUAAGAGUCAGCAGAGAAGGCCUCAAACAGGAAGUAGGACUUAAGCCUGGCCUUGGAAACUGAAUAGAAAAAGGGCAGCCCAAGAAGAAAGGGAGGGCAUUCCAGUGUGGGGGACAGGAAGAAUAAAGACGGAGGUGAGAAAAUCCAAGUCUUGUUUGGAAAGAGAAUGAAAAGACCAAUUUAGCUAGAGAAGAGAGACUUUUACUGGGGAAUAAUGGAAAGUAAGAUUCAAAGACCCUCUUGAACUUCUGACAAAAGGAUUUUGACUUGUCUUGUGGACAAUAGUGAACCAUGAAAAAAUUUUGAGUAAGACAGUGAAACUCUGAAAGCAGUGUGUGGGUAGACUAAUCUGGCAAUAUGCAUUGUAGAGGAUGCCUUUCGAUGGGAAGAGACUGGAGAUAAGGAAGACUAGUUAGGAGCCUAUGACAGUCAGGGAUAAGGUGACAAAAGCCAGUAUUAAAAUGGUGGUGCUGAGACUAAAAGGAAGGCCAAUUGUAAUUGGCAAGAUGAAGAAAGAAAUGUCAGAACCUGUGAAAUAGGGAGAGACAAGAGUUGAACUUGCCUGAGAGUUUUCAAGCCUAGCUGACUUGAAGAAAGAAGACGCCAUGAACAGAAAUUAGCAAGACAGGUAGAAAAACUGGUUCAGGGAGUUUUGCUUUUGACAUCUUGGGGUGGAAGUAACAAUGGAAGGUCCAAGUGAAACUGUCUAGUAGGCAAUUGAAGAUGUAGAGGUGGAGGUUGGGAGAAGGGAAGGCCUAGAAUUGAGUUGGCUUGGUAUAAUGGUAUAUAAUGGAGCCCUGGGAGUCAGGAGACCUGGGACUUUGCCUCUUCUCUGCCACUAACUUACUGAGUCACGGGCAAGCCACCUCUCUGGGCCUGUUUCCUUCACCGUAAAGUGAGGGGGUGCACAGACCCUAUAUGAUCUCUGAGGUACUCUCAAGGACUAUGAGUCACCUGCAUGUAUGUUUUCUCCAUGGCAAAAUCAAUAGUCAGAUGAACAAAGGGCAUUAAAUAAUCCCCAAAUGCUAUGACUCUGUGACCGAUCUCAGGAAUGCUGUUUACUUAAGGAGCAAAAGAGAAGUCAGCAAAGGAGAUAGAAAGUAAUCAGAGAGAUAAAAGCAUGAGGAGAGAAAUUCUAAAGCAAGAGGAUAAAAUAAGGAACUAAAAUUAAAAGUAUCACAAUAAAUAAGAUAAAUAUUUACAUCAAAUAAUGACAAAGGGAUAGCAUGUAUAUUAAGAAUACAUUUAGAUAUAUAAGAAUACCACUAGGGUGCCAAUUAAAGAAAGAUGCAAAGAGUAAACAUAUGGGAAAGAGUUCAAUCACAUGAGUAAUCAAAGAAAUGAAAAAAAUAUCAAAAUAAUGUUUAAUCAUCUAAAGAGAUUUCUUCUAAAGUCCAAUGCUAGCGCUGCAAGGGAACUGGAACAACUCAUACGUCAUUGUGGUGUUGAAAAUUUUUGCAGUCCUUUUGGCAGUCACAAUCCAUAAAAACAUUCAUGCUCUUUGGUCUGGUAAUCCCACUCCUGGGAAUUUGUCCUAGAGACAGAAUUACAAAGAAGAAAAAAAGCCAUACACAUUAAGAUGUUCAAAGCACAGAAAAAUUGAAAUAUAUCUAAAUAUUCAAUAAUAGGGGAAUAGUCAAAUAAAAUGUAAUCUACUGACAGGUGUAAUUUUAUGAGGCAACUGAAAUAAUAGAUAUGAAAGACUAUAGCAACCAGGGAGAAUAUUUACAAUAAAAGGUUUCUAGGCCAGGCGUGGUAGCUCAUGCCUGUAAUCCCAGCACUUUGGGAGGCUGAGGUGGGCGGAUCACUUGAGGUCAGAAGUUCGAGACCAGCCUGGCCAACAUGAUGCAACCCUGUCUCUACUAAACAUACAAAAAUUAGCCAGGCGUGGUGAUGUGUGCCUAUAAUCCCAGCUACUUGGGAGGCUGAGGCAGGAGAAUCACUUGAACCUGGGAAGUGAAGGUUGCAGUGAGCCGAGAAUUGUGCCACUGCACUACAGCCUGGGCGACAGAGCAACUCCGUCUCAAAAAAAAAGAAAAAAGAAAAGACAAACGGCAGCAGGGUUAAGGUGUCAGUGAUAAUGCUUUGGUUUUUUUGUUGUUGUUGUUUGUUUUUAAGAUGGGAUAAAAUGGGUGAUGGAAGAGACUUGAAAUAAUGAAGAGAGGUAAACAAAGGAAUAAGAAAGGGGACCACCUCUUAUUCUGGAACUUCAGGGAAGAAAGGGAGAAAGACAGGGCAAAUAUAGAGUAGUUAUCGUGAAUGAUAACUGGAAGUUGAAGCGUUAGAGCUUCUCAGUUUCGCAGGAGGCAAGGUAACUCUCUUAAGAGAUCACAAGAAGGAGAUGAAUUUGGGGACUUGUGGAGGUGAAAAAGACAGGAAACAGCUGCUGUGGAAUGUUCACUAGGAACACACCAGGCUAAGAGGAAUGAGAGCUUAGGCAAAGUUCCAGGAUGUGAAGUCUUAGUGGGUCAAGCCAGCCUUGUUCUCUGGCUUCAUCUGCAAUUUCCUCCAGUCCUAGAAGAAAGGAGAUUGGCCUAAGGUGAAAGUCAAGGUGUUUAAAGCUAAAGUGCAAGGGAAGACAGCCCUAAAGUAACAGACCAGAAAGUUCAUCUCGAUUAAGCAUAUGGGAGUUAAAUAGACUGAGGAAAUGGAGGAGGCUGAGUCAGUUGGGAUGGAAAGAGCAGCUUUACUGGGUGGGGACAGCAGGUUAGGGGAGGUGAUGGGCAAAGAGGCCAUGGUCAUAGGAAUAAAAGGAAGAGAGUGCAGAUGAGGAACAGUGUACGCAACAGUGGCUGUGAGACUGGGAGAACUAGUAAGAAGAGGAGAAAAAAGCCGGUUCAUUUACUCCUAAUGGCAGGAGUCCUGCAUAGCAAGAAGGUCCUGGAUAUCUAGGGAGAAAGUGGGAGCCUUUCAAAAAACAAAAAGGGAAAUUCAGGGGAACUGAAGUCAUUUUUUUUUCCUUCAGUCCAGCCCCAGCCCUACUCUACAGAGAGAGACGCUUAGAAGCCAAUAAGAGUUAGUAUCAUUAGAUAAGUAAGAGAUCAGAGACAGGAGAGCUGUCAUAUACAUGUUCUCAGCAAACAUCAUAAAGAAGGUCCAGUCCCAUUCCUGUCCCAAAGGCUGUUAUCAGCUAAGGUCCCCACCCUAUCACAGGACUUUAAUUCAUGCUGCACACCAGUUCAACAGUGUCAGGCCCCCAGCUACAUGCGGGGACCCUGGCAUGCAGGCUCCCUGGGAUCACACCCUAUUCCAGCAUCUUGGUAAGCAAGACUAUGCUGUCUUUGAGAGAGAACCAGGAAGUCAGUGUGGGUGCUACAUAUGGCACAUCCUCGGCAUCUGUGAUAUGGAAGUUGCC